ensembl:lncRNA
GCACCACUGUCUUGGCAGGGAGGUUUUGCGCGAGCAGAAGGGCCGAGCGCAGAGAGCUGCCAGAUACACGACAAUAUGGACAUCUGAUGCUCCAAACACAAGAAAUGGCCAGUUCGGUGCAGAGCAGUAAUGCAUCAUGAAUCAAACAUCAAGCGUGACCAGGACAUCAGUUCAUGUAAUAAUCACAAUCUGAAGUACCGAUAAUCCAGAGAACGAAAGUAUUGAUCCUUGAAACAUCUUCUACCUCCGCCUUCUGCCUUUUGUCUGCUGGACCAAGGCGAGGUCCGAACUUCUCCGCUCUGUAAUUAACCUCACAAGCUCUCUGAGAGGAGCGUGGAGCAGCAGUAUAGUCAAGAGAGAAAUAAAUAAGUAUAGAAGAGCAUGUAAUAAAAUGGGUUCUGAGAGCAUC